rnacentral:lncRNA from 1 species
AUGCCCAUCUUCUUUGCCUUCUACUCCUGCCCUCAUUCUAAACUCAGCUCUGCUUUCCUCCUGGCAGUAUCCACCCACAAAGUGCCACAUGCUGAGACAGCUGUAACCACAGAGAAGACCACGGCCACCACCUCCAUCAGCAGCACCUCCAAGACCUCUGUCUCCACAGGGCCCAGCCCAGCAAGCAGCACAGGAGCCCCUCUGGAAACAACCUCUGCCCAUGCCAGCUCUCCACCUGCCCCCAGCAGCCCGCUCAGCACAAGGCUGCCAUCCACUGCCACCACUUCCACUGGCUCCUCCACAGCAGCUGCCAGCACCAGCCCCAGGCCUACACCUACAACCCUGAGGCCCAGGCCCUCUUCCCCAGCAACCCAAGCUGCAAAGGAGUCUCCUGUAACAGAGUCCUCUGCACCCACCACAGCCAAAACCAGCACUCUGCCACAACCUGCUUCUUCUCCCUCCUCAACUGUGUCCUCAACAUGGCUCAGCUCCUCACAGCCUGCCUUCACCCAUGAAGAGUCAGCUGUGCCACACACUGGGACACCUGUGACCACACACAAGACCAGCACAGCCACCUCCAUCAGCAGCACCUCCAAGACCUCUGUCUCCACAGGGCCCAGCCCAGCAAGCAGCACAGGAGCCCCUCUGGAAACAACCUCUGCCCAUGCCAGCUCUCCACCUGCCCCCAGCAGCCCGCUCAGCACAAGGCUGCCAUCCACUGCCACCACUUCCACUGGCUCCUCCACAGCAGCUGCCAGCACCAGCCCCAGGCCUACACCUACAACCCUGAGGCCCAGGCCCUCUUCCCCAGCAACCCAAGCUGCAAAGGAGUCUCCUGUAACAGAGUCCUCUGCAUCCACCACAGCCAAAACCAGCACGCUGCCACAACCUGCUUCUUCUCCCUCCUCAACUGUGUCCUCAACAUGGCUCAGCUCCUCACAGCCUGCCUUCACCCAUGAAGAGUCAGCUGUGCCACACACUGGGACACCUGUGACCACACACAAGACCAGCACAGCCACCUCCAUCAGCAGCACCUCCAAGACCUCUGUCUCCACAGGGCCCAGCCCAGCAAGCAGCACAGGAGCCCCUCUGGAAACAACCUCUGCCCAUGCCAGCUCUCCACCUGCCCCCAGCAGCCCGCUCAGCACAAGGCUGCCAUCCACUGCCACCACUUCCACUGGCUCCUCCACAGCAGCUGCCAGCACCAGCCCCAGGCCUACACCUACAACCCUGAGGCCCAGGCCCUCUUCCCCAGCAACCCAAGCUGCAAAGGAGUCUCCUGUAACAGAGUCCUCUACAGUCACCACAGCCAAAACCAGCACUCUGCCACAACCUGCUUCUUCUCCCUCCUCAACUGUGUCCUCAACAUGGCUCAGCUCCUCACAGCCUGGUAAGGCUCUCUCCUGUGCAUCCCGCUAG